CUGCUGCCUUCCGUAGGAGUCUGGUCCGUGUCUCAGUACCAGUGUGGGGGACCUUCCUCUCAGAACCCCUACGCAUCGUCGCCUCGGUGGGCCGUUACCCCGCCGACUAGCUAAUGCGACGCAUGGCCAUCCUAUGCCGGAGUCGCCUCCUUUGACCCCCAAGAAGAUGUCUCCUAAAGGUGUUAUGCGGUAUUAGACGGAAUUUCUUCCGCUUAUCCCCCUGCAUAGGGCAGGUUCUAUACGUGUUACUCACCCGUGCGCCGG
rnacentral:rRNA from 1 species